rnacentral:lncRNA from 1 species
GGCACAGAAAGCUCCGCAUGUCACCAGGCAGCUGCUGCAGGGUGCCCACAGUGCCCUGCGUGCCACAGCACAGCAUGCUGGGACCCAGCAGCAGGGAUGCUGGCAGUGAAUGCAGCCCUCUAGUGUCCGGGCUGCCAUCCUGGCACACAGCAGCAGCAGCGCCCUGCCCGCCUGGGAACCAUUUACCUGUUAAGAUGUUUUCAGACAUCACGUUGACCUGAACUUCCACGGAAUGCUUGGAGGUGUAGGUGAUCUCGGCACUGACGUUGGCCACCUCUCCGAUGCACAUCGGGGAGAGGAAGUCCGUCCGCUCCACGCGUGCCAACGCGGCCACGCAGGGCUCCCCCUGCCCGGAGUUGCAGUGCCGGGUGCUGAUGAUGGCUCCCGCCUCCUCGAUCAUCUUCAGCACGGUGCCGCCGUGCACGUUGCCCGCGAUGUUGGCGUCGUCGGGGCGCAUGAUCCUGGAGACCUGGAUGGUGGCCGGGCCCGGGCCCGCCGCGCCCCGCUCCGACAUGGCGGCACCGGCGCCCGCCAGCAACGGCGCUGCGGCGGCGGCG